rnacentral:lncRNA from 1 species
GGUAGUCCUUCAGGACCGAGACUUCAGGCUUUCAGCUGCCUGCCCUCAGCUGUGAAUGCCUGAUUGGAAAGGGGAUGUGUUGCUAACCAGAGAGACAACAGUCAGUCCCUGGGUGUCUGUCAAGGUGGAUGGCAUUGCAAGUAACUGUUUGCCAGUAGUCACCCCGAUACUGAACAUGGUUAUCCUCGGAUGUGCAGCUGUAUCACAGUUAGCCAAGAACAUCGUGCUUACAGAUCUGAGCAACUUGGGCAGAAAUCCUCCUUCACCAGCCAGAAGUCAUGAAACCAAAGGCAGAAAUCAGCAUGAGGAGACCAGGCACCUCAGACUGAUGGCAGAGUUAAUCUUCAGAGCCCAUUAAGGUCAUUUUUGACAUUUCUGUCUGAGGCAGUGCUGGCUUAACCAGCUUGUACCUGCUGCACACCCUCAGCAUGGCUGGGAUAGUUCUCCAUGACCUGGACUGGGGUAGCACAGUGAACUGGAUCAGGCAAGUGACCUGCAGGUUUUCUUUCUGGGCUAUUUUUAAACAGAGAGGCAGAAAUAGAAUAAACUGAUACUGCCAGACA